CUGCUGCCUCCCGUAGGAGUCUGGUCCGUGUCUCAGUACCAAUGUGGGGGGUUGACCUCUCAGUCCCCCUAUGUAUCGUCGCCUUGGUGAGCCGUUACCUCACCAACUAGCUAAUACAACGCAUGUCCAUCUCUGACCACCUGAGUUUUCAACCACCGAAGAUGCCUCCGGUGAUGUUAUGGGGUAUUAGUACCAAUUUCUCGAUGUUAUCCCCCUGUCAAAGGUAGGUUACAUACGCGUUACGCACCCGUCCGCCGGUCGCCGG
rnacentral:rRNA from 1 species